rnacentral:rRNA from 1 species
CUUGACAUUUCAAUUGUCCAUGUACGGUGUGCAUUGAAGAUUCACGUUCCUUGGGAUUUGAACGCAAACUUGUUGGUAAAUUUCAUUUAAAGCUAAAUAUUGGUUUGAGACCGAUAGAAAACAAGUACCAUGAGGGAAAAGUGAAAAGGACUUUGAAAAGAAAGUUAAAAGUGCUUGAAAUUGCUGAAGAGGAAGCGGGUGUAUUUCGCACGCAAUUCUCAAGAUUGUUGCGCAUAUCUCUGAUACCUUGUUGUCUUGAUUUAAUUGCAGCAAUAAGUUAUAUUUGUGAAUGCGCAAUGUUGCUUGUGUUUUGUGCCUUCAUCGAUUCACAGCCAUAGAAACAAUCUAAACAUGAAUCUUUGCUCUUGUGCAAAAGAACAUUUAGGUUCAGAUUUAGCUUGUGGAUCGCUCUUAAUAUUGUUGAUUGCUUAAUCGUCCUUGCGCCUUGCGUGCGGGAUGAUUUCACGACAUGAAAAUGAUGGCCAAAGAAAUACAUUCGACCCGUCUUGAAACACGGACCAAGGAGUUUAACACAUGUGCAAGUUUGGGGUGUGAUGCUUCUUUGCGUAAUGAAAAUGAUAUUUGGUAUAUUCUUGCACCAAUAACCAACCGCUCAAUUGUGAGAGGUUUGAGUACGAGCAUAUUUGUUAAGACCCGAAAGAUGGUGAACUAUGCCUGGGAAGGGUAAAUUCAGGGGAAACUCUGAUGGAGGCUCGUAGCGAUACUGACGUGCAAAUCGUUCGUCAUACUUGGGUAUAGGGGCGAAAGACUAAUCGAACCAUCUAGUAGCUGGUUCCUUCUGAAGUUUCCCUCAGGAUAGCUGGAAUUACACAGUUUCAUCACGUAAAGCGAAUGAUUAGAGGAAUUGGGGGCGUGUUGUCCUUGACCUAUUCUCAAACUUUAAAUGGGUAAGCUUUAAUAGUUACUUAUUCACACUUUUGGGAAGAAUGAUAAUUCUAAGUGGGCCAUUUUUGGUAAGCAGAACGGCGAU